CCCUUGAUUUUAUUCUUCUUCAUCCCCAAACUCUCAUUCCAUCUAUCUUGAUUUUCUUUCUCCCAAAACUCUGUUUCGCCCUUUUUCUCCCGAAGCUCCCUUCUCUUCUUUGCCCUUUUCUUCUUCAACCCGCAAGCCAUAAUCUUCUAGCCCCAUUCUUGCUGAGACAUCGCUCUUCCCCAGCCCGCAAGCGUCUCCUUCUCUCUAGCGGUUGUCGUCGUCUUCAUUCUUUCCAACUCCCCAGGAUUCUCCAAGCUGUUCUAGCCUGCGAUAAACUUUUUGCAAGGAGAUUAGAGAGUGGUUGCUGUUUUUCACUGCAACGCUUGCCUUCUGAAAUUUGAAAAGAUAAUGCCUGGAAUCCAGGGUGCUCUUAUUGUUGCCUCGACUCUCCAGAUUGUCUUUGGCUUUAGUGGCCUUUGGCGUAAUGUUGCAAGACCAGUGGGAGAAUGUGGCAGUUUGACGAUGACCCAUUCUUCACCACUCUCACUUGCAGUUUGUAUUUCAGUUUGUUUGGAGUAUUCAUAAAAGUUGAAUGUAUCUAGUAAAAUCAGUAUAUCAUUUAGCUUUGGAGUUGUUAAAUCAUGAAGGAAGGUUGAAAGUUCACAUUCACAAAGCACUUCUGAGUUUUGGAGGAAGUUGUGGAAUCUGGAACUACCAAAUAAAAUGUGUUGGUAGACAUUUAUGUAAAGAGGACUGUGUUGGUAUUUAUGUUUACACCAAAAACAUCAUCUUUGUUACUAAAUAAAGAGGAAUUAAUUUUGAUUA